GACGAACGCUGGCGGCGUGCUUAACACAUGCAAGUCGAACGGAAAGGCCCUGCUUUUGUGGGGUGCUCGAGUGGCGAACGGGUGAGUAACACGUGAGUAACCUGCCCUUGACUUUGGGAUAACUUCAGGAAACUGGGGCUAAUACCGGAUAGGAGCUCCUGCUGCAUGGUGGGGGUUGGAAAGUUUCGGCGGGUGGGGAUGGACUCGCGGCUUAUCAGCUUGUUGGUGGGGUAGUGGCUUACCAAGGCUUCGACGGGUAGCCGGCCUGAGAGGGUGACCGGCCACAUUGGGACGGAGAUACGGCCCAGACUCCUAGGGGAGGCAGCGGUGGGAAAUAUGGAAAAAUGGGCGGAAGCCGAAUGCAGGACGGCGGGGUGCGGGAUGCCGGCCUUCGGGUGGAAACCCGCUUCCGCCGGGGACGAGCCGUUUGUGACGGUAAUGGGUAAAGAAGCACCGGCUAACUACGUG
rnacentral:rRNA from 1 species